GUACUCUUCUCCACUAGAAGAGCAAUCACUAAAGACUCGUAUGAAGGGAGAAGCGAUGCCAGCAAAAGCAGCGUCCUGGUCUUCUCCUCAACAUUCUCACUAACGCUAAGGAGGUCGGUGAGGAUCUUCUGAAAGUGACUUAGAUGCUCCUGCACGCUCUGUCCCUCAGUCAUCCAUAGUUGGUAGAACUACCUCCAGAGGAAAAGAGUAUGGGUGAGAAAUUUUGUC
rnacentral:lncRNA from 1 species